CCCAAAAGUCUCAGUGCCAUUUUA
rnacentral:miRNA from 1 species